UGCCAAAAAGAAGAGUGAAGAGGUGAGCAGUUCAAGGUUGGUGGGCAGCUCUGCUAUCUUCAACUUCUGGCUUCCAGUCCUAUCUCUGUGGAUACCAUUUUGAGCCAGAAGGAGGGGAGAAAGAAAUGGCUUUCAACAGGUGACUUGGCAGCUGUACACAUCAUUGUUGCUUGGCCAGCAUUUAGUCACAUGACCACACCUAGCUAUAAAGUAGGCCAGAAGAUGUUGUUAGUGGUGCUAGCUAGUUGCAUAGGAGUUCUAUUUAAAAGGAAGUUGAGAGUGGAUGCUGGCAGGUGGAGGGGACAGUCUUUGGCACAGAAAUGAAG
rnacentral:lncRNA from 1 species